ACGGCUUGUUUACAUCUAUGUAUUACUCUGUGGAAGGACAGAAUGCAAACAGCAACUGCCAAAUCCAGCCAUGAAUGCAAUAAAUUCAACUCCAAGAGACAAGGCCUCACUGUCACCCGGGUUGGAAUGCAGUGGUGUGAUCAUAGCUCACUGCACCCUCAAGUCAUCAAGCCUCCUGGCCUCAGAUCCCAGUGUCUCCCAAAUUCC